CCCUUAGAUGUCCGGGGCUGCACGCGCGCUACACUGAAGGAAUCAGCGUGCUAAAACCAUUGUCGAAAGGCAUUGGUAAACCCAUUAAAAUCCUACGUGAUUGGGAUCGGGAAUUGCAAUUAUUUCCCUUGAACGAGGAAUUCCCAGUAAGUGUGGGUCAUAAGCUCGCGUUGAUUACGUCCCUGCCCUUUGUACACACCGCCCGUCGCUGCCCGGGACUGAGCCGUUUCGAGAAAAGCGGGGACUGCUGCUGUCGGGGCUUUCGGGCCUUGGCUUCGGUGGAAACCGCUUUAAUCGCAGUGGCUUGAACCGGGGAAAAGUCGUAACA
rnacentral:rRNA from 1 species